CCUACGUGUGGCAGCAGUGGGGGAUAUUGCACAAUGGGGGAAACCCUGAUGCAGCGACGCCGCGUGUGGGAAGACGGUCCUCUGGAUUGUAAACCACUGUCCCCAGGGACGAAGAUGACGGUACCUGGGCAGGAAGCUCCGGCUAACUACGUGCCAGCAGCCGCGGUAAUACGUAGGGAGCGAGCGUUGUCCGGAAUUACUGGGUGUAAAGGGAGCGUAGGCGGGGGUGCAAGUUGGGUGUCAAAACUACCGGCUCAACUGGUAGUCGCAAUCAAUACUGCCGCUCUUGAGUGAAGUAGAGGCAGGCGGAAUUCGUAGUGUAGCGGUGAAAUGCGUAGAUAUUAGGAAGAACACCAGUGGCGAAGGCAGCCUGCUGGGCUUUUACUGACGCUGAGGCUCGAAAGUGUGGGGAGCAAACAGGAUUAGAUACCCGUGUAGUC
rnacentral:rRNA from 1 species